CUCGCGUUUUGUCUACAAGUUUAAUCCAAUCAUUUAUUCAAGGUCUAUAAGCUAGUUAUAAACCUCGGACGAACAAAGAAAACCGACGCAAGUGUGAUAUAAAUAUAUAUAUAUAUACACAGGAUGUAUAAAAAAACGAGACCUCUAUUAGAAAUUAAUCUAUUGAUGUUAUAAAAGCACAAUAUAUUUUGCUCCUAGCUGGUAAUUAAAAAUUCAAUUGUGUUUUCGCACUCGAUUUGUGUUCAGCGUAGUGCUUAUUAUAGCAUUCAAAUUAUAACAGCAAGAUUAAUUUCUAAAGGUCUCGAUUUUUUCGUACACCCUGUACAAUAGAAUGGUUUUAAAUUAGGGAAACGGUUACAACGUUAAUUAAUAAUAAAAGUCAAAAGGGCAAAUGAACACGCUGCAUGUAGACAUUACUAAAUUUAGUAUUAUAAUUUGAAUAAAUCCACGCUUGUUUUCCUGCGUG